GCUCGAUUUGGCAGAGCAUAUACUAAAAGAGACAGAAAUUAGCAUGGCCCUGCACAAGGAUGACAUGCAAAUUGGUGAAGCAUUCAAAUUUUUC
rnacentral:snRNA from 1 species